rnacentral:rRNA from 1 species
CACGUAGGGCGCGAGCGUUGUCCGGAAUUAUUGGGCGUAAAGAGCUCGUAGGCGGCCUGUUGCGUCCGCUGUGAAAGCCCGGGGCUUAACCCCGGGUCGGCAGUGGAUACGGGCAGGCUAGAGGUAGGUAGGGGAGAAUGGAAUUCCCGGUGUAGCGGUGAAAUGCGCAGAUAUCGGGAGGAACACCGGUGGCGAAGGCGGAUCUCUGGGCCUUACCUGACGCUCAGGUGCGAAAGCUAGGGGAGCGAACAGG